rnacentral:tRNA from 1 species
GCGGGUAUGGUGUAGCAGCAGCACAAGACUCUUCCAAGGUCUUAGGACGAGUGCAAAUCUCGUUACCCGCU